AUAAUAGUUCUUGAAUAACUGGUCAUUAUCGUUAUAUAUGGACUGCCCACAGGACAGUGGUAUUGACUAAGUUAGUGAUAAUGACUGAGCCGAAAACUAUUAUGUUUAUUUCAUUGAGGAACCAUGUUUCAGAAAAUUUUCAUAGAUUCAAAAUGUUCAAAGCAAACUCGAGUAGUUGCACGAUUUCUAUGACAAAGAGUUAAAACCAGUCGUAGCAAUAAUGCCAUUCGUUUUAGUGCAAUUUUUUAGUAUAUGAAUACUAAAUCAAGUUCUCUAUAAUUUUAUAAUUUACCAAAACAUAUGGUAAACAAUUCAACAACUUAAAUAUAAUAUUGAAAACAGGAAAAUGUUUUAUUGAAGGGACAUCUCUCUAAACAGAGAAUCAAUGCCCCCACCGGUCAUUAACAGAGAAACCACACCCCAGCGGUCAUUAACAGAUGGAAACCACGCCCCAACGGUCCUUAACAGACGGAAACCACGCCCCAUCG
rnacentral:lncRNA from 1 species